ensembl:lncRNA
GUCUACUACACCUGUUGUAUUCAGCAUUUCACUGUAAGGUCUACUACACCUGUUGUAUUCAGCAUUUCACUGUAAGGUAUACUACACCUGUUGUAUUCAGCAUUUCACUGUGAGGUCUACUACACCUGUUGUAUUCAGCAUUUCACUGUGAGGUCUACUACACCUGUUGUAUUCAGCAUUUCACUGUAAGGUCUACUACACCUGUUGUAUUCAGCAUUUCACUGUAAGGUCUACUACACCUGUUGUAUUCAGCAUUUCACUGUAAGGUCUACUACACCUGUUGUAUUCAGCAUUUCACUGUAAG